AUUUAUUCUUUUAACCCAUAGGAAUUGAGAGUAUGGGAUCUCUUCCAGUGAAGAAAUAAUUUUUUUUGGCUAUGCUCUUCCUGCUCUUCCUGUUGGCCCCUUUCAAGACAUAUUUUGACAUCAAGGAAAUCAAAAGAUUAUCUGCUGGAAACGCUCGCCUGGGGUUAUAUGGAAACCGUGCUGUAUGGGCAAAGUAUUGGCAGGUGUGCCGGGUCCCUUAAAUACUGUGCAUCAGCAACAUGGGAUAGGAAAUGUGGAGUCAUUUGAAAACAGGCUGUUUUGACUUCAGAUCAUCCGGUUAGAAAAGAUGCUGAUGAGGGAACAGAAGCCUCUUCUCCUCGUGCUCACAUCCCAGU